UCGAACGAGGUGCUUUAUGUAGCAAUACGAGGAGUAUCCUGGUGGCGAACGGGUGAGUAACGCGUGGGUGACCUACCCCAAAGUGUGGAAUAACAGUCCGAAAGGAUUGCUAAUGCCGCAUGUGGUCUGCGAGUUUAGAAAUCGUUGACUAAAGGAGCAAUUCGCUUUGGGAGGGACCUGCGUCCCACCAGCUAGUUGGUGAGGUAACGGCUCACCAAGGCUACGACGGGUAGGGGACCUGAGAGGGUGGCCCCCCACAAUGGAACUGAAACACGGUCCAUACACCUACGGGUGGCAGCAGUAGGGAAUAUUGCACAAUGGGCGAAAGCCUGAUGCAGCAACGCCGCGUGCGCGAUGAAGGUCUUCGGAUCGUAAAGCGCUUUUCUGAGAGAUGAGAAAGGACAGUAUCUCAGGAAUAAGUCUCGGCUAACUACGUGCCAGCAGCCGCGGUAAAACGUAGGAGGCGAGCGUUAUCCGGAUUCACUGGGCGUAAAGCGCGUGCAGGUGGUUCGGUAAGUUGGGCGUGAAAUCUCCCGGCUCAACUGGGAGAGGUCGUUCAAUACUACCGGACUUGAGAGCAGAAGAGGAAGAUGGAAUUCCCGGUGUAGUGGUGAAAUGCGUAGAUAUCGGGAGGAACACCAGUGGCGAAGGCGAUCUUCUGGUCUGUUUCUGACACUCAGACGCGACAGCUAGGGUAGUAAACGGGAUUAGAGACCCCGGUAAUCCUAGCCGUAAACGAUGUGAACUUGGCGUUGGUGGGUUAAACUCCAUCAGUGCCGAAGCAAACGCGAUAAGUUCACCGCCUGGGGACUACGGCCGCAAGGUUAA
rnacentral:rRNA from 1 species